rnacentral:tRNA from 1 species
AUUUAUGUAGUUUAAUAAUAAAACAUUACACUUUCACUGUAAAAAUAAAUUUCCAUUUUCAUAAAUA